AUUUUUUAUUGCAUUAUCAGUCCUGCCAAUUUCCAUAAGAUAUAAUAUUAAACCAUAAGACGAAUGCAUUAAUAUAUUCAAAAUUUUGCUGGGUUUGUAAGAGCAAUAAUACAUUAUAUUUCCCAUACUGCAAUCUAUCAGUGAAAACUUCAAAGGUGCAGUCAUAUACAUACAAUGCAGUUAAGAAAUUUGAGUGCCAAAAUGAUAACCUGAAAAAACAAAGAUCUAAAUUACAUGAGGAACUCUGAGCGCAAGAAUUAAGUAAGAUUUAAUCAUCUGAUGAUAAUAACCUAGUUGAGAAUCCAAUAUAAACUCUUUUCGCUAUUUGCCAUAACUCUUGGGAAAUUUUCAAAUAUUAAGAAAAGAACUGUUGAA
rnacentral:misc_RNA from 1 species